ACGGAAGGCAGCAGUGAGGAAUAUUGGUCAAUGGGCGCAAGCCUGAACCAGCCAUGCCGCGUGAAGGAAGACGGCUCUAUGAGUUGUAAACUUCUUUUGUACUAGGGUAAAAACUCUUACGUGUAAGAGCUUGAAAGUAUAGUACGAAUAAGGAUCGGCUAACUCCGUGCCAGCAGCCGCGGUAAUACGGAGGAUCCAAGCGUUAUCCGGAUUUAUUGGGUUUAAAGGGUGCGUAGGCGGUUCGGUAAGUCAGUGGUGAAAUCUCGGGGCUCAACCUCGACAUUGCCUCUGAUACUGUCGGACUAGAGAGUAGUUGCGGUAGGCGGAAUGUAUGGUGUAGCGGUGAAAUGCUUAGAGAUCAUACAGAACACCGAUUGCGAAGGCAGCUUACCAAACUAUAUCUGACGUUGAGGCACGAAAGCGUGGGUAGCAAACAGGAUUAGAUACCCUGGUA
rnacentral:rRNA from 1 species